AAGCUUUCAAAACCCAAAAAUCUCAGAUCUCUUACAACACGAAUCAAUAUAAAGAUUUCAGGUGAAAGGGGUGGAAAAACCAAGAAUAUUAGAUGGAAAUGUCUUCUUCUUAUGGCAAAAAAAUAUUCUAGAAAAAUCUGACAAUAAAGAGAGAAAUUUGGAACGCCAAAAACUUUGGAACGUAUGGGAGGUUAUUUAGGGGAAAGUUGAGGGUUUGGGGAUGGAAAAGAGGACGAUGAGAAUGGGAAUUUUGCACAUCAUCUGGAUAGGAGAGAGACCUUCCUUCUCCUUUUGUCUCUAUCAUUUUUUUCUCUCUUUCUUUGACUUUUUUUUCUUUACCUUUUUCUCCUUCAUAUGUAAUCGUUCUGAAAAAUGAAAUUUUGUUGUUU
rnacentral:lncRNA from 1 species